GUAUGCAUUUUCUUAAAGUUGACGAGGAAGCCAAGGGAAAAUCUUGAAACUAAAGCUGCAGAGGACAUCAGCUAGGAUGAUUCUUUGCAAUUCGACUUCGACACUAUAAGGAAGGCAACCGACGAAUUUUCUGAUGAAAACAAACUUGGAGAAGGUGGAUGUGGAGCCGUUUACAAGGGUAGGCUAUCUAAUGGACAAUAUAUAGCAGUAAAAAGGCUCUCCAAGACUGCAGGACAGGGUGACGAAGAGUUUAAAAAUGAAGUUAAGCUUGUUGCUAAACUUCAACACCGUAAUUUAGUUCGACUUCUAGGCUU